GCAAAUCGAGUGACAACAAGAGAAAGCACGCUUGUAAACAGCCAUGCCCUUGCAUGAAUGCCGACAAGCGUGCUCUCUCUCGUUGUCAAGCAAUUCCGAG
rnacentral:pre_miRNA from 1 species